GUCUACCGCCAUACCACCUUGAACACACUUGAUUUCAUCUGAUCUCAGAAGCUAGCAGGGUCGGACCUGGUUAAUACCUGGGUGGGAGAAACCAAGAUGUAGGCA
rnacentral:rRNA from 1 species